GGUCCCAUAGCUCAGUUGGUUAGAGCGUCGUACUAAUAUUAUCUCAUCAUAACAUUGGUAAAUGCGAAGGCCGUGAGUUCGAGCCUCACUAGGACCA